UACGUAGGUGACAAGCGUUGUCCGGAUUUACUGGGCGUAAGGAGCGCGCAGGCGGUCGUUCAAGUCGAGUGUGAAAGCCCCCGGCUCAACUGGGGAGGGUCAUUCGAUACUGAUCGACUCGAAGGCAGGAGAGGGAAGUGGAAUUCCCGGUGUAGUGGUGAAAUGCGUAGAUAUCGGGAGGAACACCAGUGGCGAAGGCGACUUCCUGGCCUGUUCUUGACGCUGAAGCGCGAAAGCUAGGGGAGCAAACGGG
rnacentral:rRNA from 1 species